CGGGACGGGUGAGUAACGCGUGGGUAACCUGCCUUGUACUGGGGGACAACAGUCAGAAAUGACUGCUAAUACCGCAUAAGCGCACAGUAUCGCAUGAUACAGUGUGAAAAACUCCGGUGGUACAAGAUGGACCCGCGUCUGAUUAGCUAGUUGGUAAGGUAACGGCUUACCAAGGCGACGAUCAGUAGCCGACCUGAGAGGGUGACCGGCCACAUUGGGACUGAGACACGGCCCAA
rnacentral:rRNA from 1 species